AUUGAACGCUGGCGGCAGGCCUAACACAUGCAAGUCGAACGGUUAAAGUGAGCUGGCUGCUGGUUUGAGGGGCGGAGGGGUGAGUAAUGUCUACGACUCGGCCUGUGCUCUGGGGAUAACGUCCGGAAAUGGGCCCUAUAACCGAUAACGCCCUGCGCCGCAAAGUGGGGGGUCGUAGGACUUCAUGCUAUCAGAAUAGGCUAGGUCGGAUUAGAUAGGUGGUUGGGUAAAGGCCUACCAAGGCGAAGAUCCGUAACUGGUCGGAGCGGAUGAUAAGCCACCAUGGAAGUGAGACACGGUCCAGGCUACUACGGGAGGGAGCAGUGGGGAAUGGUGGACAGUAGGGGCAAGCAUGAUGCAGCCAUGCAGAGUGUGAGAAGAAGGCCUUCGGAUUGUAAAGCAGUUUAAGUGGUGAGGAAGGGCAUUAAGUUAAGACCUUGCGAUAUUGACGUUACCAGCAGAAGAAGCACCGGCAAACUCCGUG
rnacentral:rRNA from 1 species